AGUCACGUAGAAAUACGUGGCAAACGGCUCAGUAACACGUAGUCAACAUGCCCAGGGGACGUGGAUAACCUCGGGAAACUGAGGAUAAACCGCGAUAGGCCAUGAUUUCUGGAAUGGUUCAUGGCCGAAAUCUAUAUGGCCCCUGGAUUGGACUGCGGCCGAUCAGGCUGUUGGUGAGGUAAUGGCCCACCAAACCUGUAACCGGUACGGGCUCUGAGAGGAGGAGCCCGGAGAUGGGCACUGAGACAAGGGCCCAGGCCCUAUGGGGCGCAGCAGGCGCGAAAUCUCUGCAAUAGGCGAAAGCUUGACAGGGUUACUCUGAGUGAUUCCCGCUAAGGGGAUCUUUUGGCACCUUUAAAAAUGGUGCAGAAUAAGGGGUGGGCAAGUCUGGUGUCAGCCGCCGCGGUAAUACCAGCACCCCGAGUGGUCGGGGCGAUUAUUGGGCCUAAAGCAUCCGUAGCCGGUACUGCAAGUCUUCCGUUAAAUCCACCUGCUUAACAGUUGGGCUGCGGGGGAUACUACAGCGCUAGGAGGCGGGAGAGGCAAGCGGUACUCAAUGGGUAGGGGUAAAAUCCGCUGAUCCAUUGAAGACCACCAGUGGCGAAGGCGGCUUGCCAGAACGCGCUCGACGGUGAGGGAUGAAGGCUGGGGGAGCAAACCGGAUUAGAUACCCGGGUAGUCCCAGCUGUAAACGAUGCAGACUCGGUGAUGGGCUGGCCUUGUGCCAACCCAGUGCCGCAGGGAAGCCGUUAAGUCUGCCGCCUGGGGAGUACGGUCGCAAGACUGAAACUUAAAGGAAUUGGCGGGGGAGCACCACAAGGGGUGAAGCCUGCGGUUCAAUUGGAGUCAACGCCGGA
rnacentral:rRNA from 1 species